AUAUUAGCUUGUGACAGCCAGCAGAUAUCCACGUGUAUUUUGGGGGAAAGCUGCUGCCCUGUCUUCCAUUCAGUCACAGAACUUCUAUCACUGCUGAGCUUGAACUUUGUCAUUCCAAGAAUCUCAUCAGAAAUAGGAGAGAUAUGAAAUACCCUGAGUCUGCAUUGAAGGAUUGCUGCUGUAAAGCCACUGCUCCUCAAAACGCCCCUACCCAUACCCUGAACUCUUGAAGUACUAAGUCCAUAAUUUAGUACAAGUCUAAAAUAUCACUUUGAUCAACCAACAUGCCCUGGAGAUGUCUUCUCUCAAACAGGCAUGUUGAACUGCUUAAACCUGACCUGCAUGUGACUGCAAAAAUGCACCUGAGAGCUACUGAUUUAUGGAAGUGACUGAAGAACUACUUCCCUUCUAAUACAACAGGCAACCACAGCUCUGGAGAUACAUGCUCUGAGGAAACAUCCCCAAAUAGUGUGAAAAGAGGUGGAUAGUACAACAGCUGCAACUUCAAUUACCUGUGAGGACAUAAUUCUAGAUGCACGCUGUCUUCAGAAUGAAAAAUAUAACCCAUGUCUUGUGCUCCAACCAACCCUGGAUUUAACAUGAUGAGAAAACUAAAAAAUCUGCAAGCUGAUUCUAUCUCAGCAGGAGCUGGCCCAGGGCAGCUGUUCUGCAUGGUGAACUUGAAUGGGAAGACCAAGAGGAAAAGAAUGACAGAGGAUGAAGGAGAGAAUAACAAGGAAACUAACAGAUAUUCCCUGUCAUUUCUGUGACCACCUAAACUAUGAUCUCACCUACUGGUGUAUUCAAUGCAAGGCAAUUCUCAGUAAAUUCUCUUACAGAUCACUAAUCUCUACAUUAAAAUACUACCUUCCAAUCAAUUACUCUUAUAUGAAGCCUCAUGGUACCACAACUAUUCCCUUCAUGUCUUCUUUGGAUAAUGGGAUGUUCAAGAAGAACCCUUUUUCAAAUCCCUUGCCACUGAAUUUCCUAUAAGGCUUGAAAUGUUUCAAAGAGUCUUUUCUCAAGGAUGACAAAAUGGUUAUCAAAUAAUAACAGUGAGAGUAUAAAAGCACUGCCAUGGAAAGUCAGGUCAAAUGAAACCACCUACAAGUUUAUAAUUCCUUAUUACCAAGGUUAUACUGGUCAUGGAAUAUAUCAAGAAACAAGUCCAAAAGGAAUUUUAUUAAGCAAAGUAAAAUUGUCAGGGAUAAGUACAUCUAAAUUUAAAACAACUAAGGAAUUUGACUGUUAAAGCAUAUAGAGUAGGCACAUAAUUCUAUCACUAAAGUCAGAAGUAAAACUGCCCUUGACUGCAACCAAUAGGAGCGGACUACAUUGAAAGUUUUGAAAAUGUAAUCCUACAUAUAUAGGGAUUAAGAACAAUUUCUGAAUCCCUGGGAGAGAAUCUCCAAGAACAACAUACUCAGAAGUCAUGAAAAUUCCCACCUCAGAUGGACCCCCAAAAUUUGCUGCACUGUGGUUCAUUAUGAACUGAGUAUGAUCAUAACAACCAAGGUUUUAAUACUCUUUCAUUAUCCUAUUAGAGGAAACAAAAGAUUAAACUGUUCUAAGUAGGAGCCACAUUCAGUUUGAAAGUUUAAUUUACUGGAUUUCAACUACAACAAAAUUUUUGCAACAAGAAUACCGUGACAUUCUGGACCUGCAUGGACUCACCUUUCUAUGCAUUCAUUGUCAAUUCACCUUUAACUACACUGCUAGUUUAUGAACCUUUCCAGAAGGAAAUGGAUAAGAAAAAUGGUGCUAGUGCAAAUCGGUUAAGAGAGUCACUAAGGAAAGGGACUUUUGGAAUUAAUAAAUCUUUUUCACAAGAUAUACUGUAUGGAAAGUGGCUGUGCAUUUGCAUCAGAGGAGAGAUGAACUCUGUAAAACAAAA
rnacentral:lncRNA from 1 species